AGAGUUUGAUCCUGGCUCAGAACGUACGCUGGCGGCACGCCUAACACAUGCAAGUCGAACGAAGUAGCAAUACUUAGUGGCAGACGGGUGAGUAACAUGUGGGUAUCUGCCCUUUGGCCUGGAAUAACACGAGGAAACUUGUGCUAAUACCGGAUAAGUCUUUACGGAGAAAGCUUUAUGCACCAUUGGAUGAGCCCGCACUAGAUUAGUUUGUUGGUGGGGUAAUGGCCUACCAAGACUGUGAUCUAUAGCUGAUUUGAGAGGAUGAUCAGCCACAUUGGGACUGAGACACGGCCCAAACUCCUACGGGAGGCAGCAGUGGGGAAUCUUGCACAAUGGAGGAAACUCUGAUGCAGCGAUGCCGCGUGAGUGAAGAAGGCCUUUGGGUUGUAAAGCUCUUUCGUCGGGGAAGAAAAUGACUGUACCCGAAUAAGAAGGUCCGGCUAACUUCGUGCCAGCAGCCGCGGUAAUACGAAGGGACCUAGCGUAGUUCGGAAUUACUGGGCUUAAAGAGUUCGUAGGUGGUUGAAAAAGUUGGUGGUGAAAUCCCAGAGCUUAACUCUGGAACUGCCAUCAAAACUUUUCAGCUAGAGUAUGAUAGAGGAAAGCAGAAUUUCUAGUGUAGAGGUGAAAUUCGUAGAUAUUAGAAAGAAUACCAACUGCGAAGGCAGCUUUCUGGAUCAUUACUGACACUGAGGAACGAAAGCAUGGGUAGCGAAGAGGAUUAGAUACCCUCGUAGUCCAUGCCGUAAACGAUGUGUGUUAGACGUUGGAAAUUUAUUUUCAGUGUCGCAGCGAAAGCAAUAAACACACCGCCUGGGGAGUACGACCGCAAGGUUAAAACUCAAAUGAAUUGACGGGGACCCGCACAAGUAGUGGAGCAUGUGGUUUAAUUCGAAGAUACGCGCAGAACCUUACCAACACUUGACAUGUUCGUCGCGACUCUAAGAGAUUAGAGUUUUCGGUUCGGCCGGACGAAACACAGGUGCUGCAUGGCUGUCGUCAGCUCGUGUCGUGAGAUGUUGGGUUAAGUCCCGCAACGAGCGCAACCCUCACUUUUAGUUGCCAUCAUUAAGUUGGGCACUCUGAAAGAACUGCCAGUGAUAAGCUGGAGGAAGGUGGGGAUGACGUCAAGUCCUCAUGGCCCUUACGUGUUGGGCUACACACGUGCUACAAUGGUAUCUACAACAGGAAGCGAAACGGCAACGUUAAGCAAAUCCCGAAAAGAUACCUCAGUUCGGAUUGCACUCUGCAACUCGAGUGCAUGAAGCUGGAAUUACUAGUAAUCGUGGAUCAGCGUGCCACGGUGAAUGCGUUCCCGGGUCUUGUACACACCGCCCGUCACACCAUGGGAGUUGGUUCUACCUUAAGGCAAGGUUUUAAACCCUUGACCACGGUAUAGUCAGCGACUGGGGUGAAGUCGUAACAAGGUAGCCGUAGGGGAGCCUGCGGCUGGAUCACCUCCUU
rnacentral:rRNA from 1 species